AAUGGUCAUUAAAUCCACCAGAACAGGGUUGGGGUCAAUUCAAAUAAUAAUAAAACAAACUUUAAAAAGUUUUGAUACACAUACACACAGCUUCUACUUUUCAGUCUAUUGAGAAGUCACUGAAAAUAUAUGCCCUUUGUUCAGUUUACUUCUUGUUUGACUGCCUUCAACCCUGCACCUGAAAUCCUGAGGAAAGCACCUUGCUGUUGAAACAUUGGUUAACUAGUAUUAAAUGUUUUACAUUUUAGCCAUAGAGUGUAGUUACCUUAUUUUUCUCGUAAAACCCACCAAACCCUGGGCCCUCUUGUGGAGUUACAUCUGGAAAUAUAUCAAAAAUACGGAGAUCAACAUUAUGAUUCUAUAUUUUCAAAAGAAAACAUUCAUGAGAUACUUCUUGAUACAUUCCUACACACAGAAGUGCAUUUUGUAUUUUUGUGGGAUAUAAUAGUUAGUAAAAGCCAAAGAUGUGUUGAAAGCGUUCCGCAGGGAUUCUGGCCCACGUUGACUCCAAUGCUUCCCAUUGUUGUCUCAAGUUGGCUGGAUGUCCUUUGGGUGGUGGACUAUUCUUGAUACAGACGGUAAACUUUUGAGUUUGAAAAACCCAACAGCAUUGCAGUUCUUGACACAAACCGGUGCACCUGGCACCUACUACCAUACCCCAUUCAUAGGCACUUACAGUUGAUGUCGGAAAUUUAAAUACACCUUAGCCAAAUACAUUUAAAGUCCGUUUUUCACAAUUCCUGACAUUUAAUCCGAGUAAAAAUGCCCUGUUUUAGGUCAGUUAGGAUCACCACUUUAUUUUAAGAAUGUGAAAUGUCAGAAUAAUAAUAGAGAGAAUGAUUUAUUUCAGCUUCUAAUUCUUUCAUCACAUUCCCAGUGGGUCAGAAGUUUACAUGCACUCAAAUAAUAUUUGGUAGCAUUGCCUUUAAAUUGUUUAACUUGGGUCAAACAUUUUGGGUAGCCUUCCACAAGCUUCCCACAAUAAGUUGGGUGAAUUAUGGCCCAUCCCUCCUGACAGAGCUGGUGUAACUGAGUCAGGUUUGUAGGCCUCCUUGCUCGCACACACUUUUUCAGUUCUGCCCACAAAUUUUCUAUACGAUUGAGGUCAGGGCUUUGUGAUGGCCACUCCAAUACAACUUGGUUGUCCUUAAGCCAUUUUGCCACAACUUUGGAAGUAUGCUUGGGGUCAUUGUCCAUUUGGAAGACCCAUUUGCGACCAAGCUUUAACUUCCUGACUGAAGUCUUGAGAUGUUGCUUCAAUAUAUCCACAUCAUCCACCUUCCUCAUGAAGCCAUCUAAUUUGUGAAGUGCACCAGUCCCUCCUGCAGCAAAGCACCCCCACAACAUGAUGCUGCCACCCCCAUGCUUCACGGUUGGGAUGGUGUUCUUCGGCUUGCAAACCUCCACCUUUUUCCUCCAAACAUAACGUUGGUCAUUACGGCCAAACAGUUCUAUUUUUGUUUCAUCAGACCAGAGGACAUUUCUCCAAAAAGUAUGAUCUUUGCCCCCAUGUGCAGUUGCCAACUGUAGUCUGGCUUUUUUAUGGCGGUUUUGGAGCAGUGGCUUCUUCCUUGCUGAGAGGCCUUUCAGGUUAUGUCAAUAUAGGAUUCGUUUUUACUGUGGAUAUAGAUACUUUUGUACCUGUUU
ensembl:lncRNA